UUGAUGUGGCUGUGGUAUAGGCUGGGGACUACAGCUCUGAUUCAACCCCUAGCCUGGGAACCUCCAUGUGCCAGGGGUGCAGCCCUAAAAAGAUGAAAAAAAAAAAGCUGGUAUAUAUUGAAAUUAGAGUAUUAUAAUUUUAGGAUAUUAAAUGAAGCCCCAUGGUAACCACAAAUAAAAUAAAAAAUAUACACAAAAAAUGAAAAAGGAAUUUAAACAUUUCACUACAAAAAUGUAUUCUUAAUACAAAAAUACAUUUUUUAAAAACUGAAAAUACAUUUUUAGUUAAAUACAAAAAAAGAUGAUAAUGCAAGAAAUGAGUAAUAAGGCAAAGAAAACAAAUAGCACCAUUACAAAAUUAAGUCCUUCUUAUCAGCAAUGAUUUCAAAUGUAAAUGGAUUAAACUCUUUAAGCAAGAGACAGAGACUGACAGAAUGGAGAAAGCCAUGUGAUUCAGCUAUAUGCUGUCUCUGAUCCAAAGACACAAAUAGGUUGAAAAUAAAAGGACAAAAAAAUACAUUCCAUGAAAAUAGUAACCAAAAGGGAGCAGGUAUCAGACAAAAAGAGCUUUAAGUCAAAAAAAAAAAGUAUGCUGAUAUCAGACAAAAAGAGCUUUAAGUCAAAAAAGUUUACAAGAAGAGUUCCCUGAUGGCCUAGCAGUUAAGGAUCUGGCACUGUCACUGCUGUGGCUCAGGUCAUUGCCAAGGCAUGAUCCCUGGCCCAGGAACUUAGGCAUGCCAUGGGUAUGGGCCAAAUCCGCACCCCCCCGCCCCCAAAAAACCCCAAAACACUUACAAGAGACAAAGAAGCACAUUAUAUAUUAAUAAAAGAUUAAAAACAGCUCAAAGACAUAACAUUAUAUACUGAAUAAUAGACCAUCAAAACUUAUGAAGCAGGAGUUCCCGUCAUGGCUCAGCAGAAACGAAUCCGACUAGGAACCAUGAGGUUGCAGGUUCAAUCCUUGGCCUCAAUCAGUGGGUUAAGGAUCUAACAUGGCCAUGAGCUGUGGUGUAGGUCACAGACACGACUCAGAUCUGGCAUUGCUGCAGCUCUGAUGUAGGCCAGCAGCUGUAGCUCCAGUUCGACCCCUAGCCUGAGAAACCUCCAUAUACCGUGAGCAAAGCCCUAAAAAAAGGAAAAAAAAAAAGUAUAUGAAGCAAAACUGACAGAAUUGAAGGGAGAAAUAAACAGUUCCACAGUAAUAGCUGGAUACUUCAAUACCCCACUCACAGUAAUAGAAGAGUCAGACAGAAGUCAAGGAAACAGAAGUCUAAACACAGUAAACCAAUCAGAUCUAACAGACACAGACAGAAUACUGUACCCAACAACAGAAUAUUCUCUUCAAAUGUACAUGGGACAUUUAACAGGAUAACCAUGUGCUAGGCCACAAAUUAAGUCUUACUAGAUUUUAUUUAUUUAUUUUUUUGUCUUUUUGCUAUUUCUUUGGGCUGCUCCCACGGCAUAUGGAGGUUCCCAGGCUAGGGGUCUAAUCAGAGCUGCAGCCACCGGCCUACGCCAGAGCCACAGCAACGCGGGAUCCAAGCUGCAUCUGCAACCUACACCACAGCUCACAGCAACAACGGAUCGUUAACCCACUGAACAAGGGCAGGGACUGAACCCGCAACCUCAUGGUUCCUAGUCGGAUUCGUUAACCACUGCGCCAUGACGGGAACUCCUAAGUCUUACUAGAUUUUAAAAGAUAGCUGUCAUACAAAGUAUCCUCUCUAACCACAAUGGGAUGAAGUUAGAAAAAACAGAAGGAAAACUGGAAAAUUCAUAAAACUGCAGAAAUUAAACAACACACUUUUAAAGCACUAAUGUAUUGAAGAAGAACCCACAAGGGAAAUUAUAAAAUACUGAGAGAGACAAAAAUGAAAACACAUCAAACUUACAGGACACAGUGAACAUGGUACCAAUGGGGAAACUGAUAGCUAUAAACACUUACAUUAACAAACAGGAAAAAUCUCAAAUUAACAACCUAACUUUACAACUUAAGAAACUAGAAAAAAAAGCAAACUAAACCCAAACCUAGCCAAACACUGAUGCAAAAUCUUAAAAAUAAACCAAAUGGAAUUUAUUCAUGGAAUGCAAGGAUGGUUCAAUAUAAGAAAACUGACCAAUGUAAUAAGCCACGUGAACAAAAUGAAAGAAAAAACCCACAUGAUCACCUCAAUUGACACGGAAAAAGCAUUUUAUAAAACUGAACAUCCUUGCAUGAUAAAGCACUCAGUGACCUAGAAAUAAAAGGAAUCUCCUCCACAUAAUAAAGUCCAUAUAUGAAGAACCCAACCAAACAUCAUCCUCAAUGGUGAAAAACUGACAGUGUUUCCUCUAAGAUGGGGAACAAGCUAAGGAUGACUACUUUCAGCACUACUUGCAGCACUUCCAAGCAGCAUAGUGCCGGAAGUUCUAGCCAGAGCAAUUAAGUAAGAAAGAGAAAUUAAAGUUAAAAAAAAUUCUAUUCAAAGAGGAUUAGUAAAAUUACUAAGGCUCAGUGACACAGCUGAAAAUUAUCCACCCAAAAAAGGCAUCUGAAUUUAAAAGGAACAAGUAAAAUCAUGUUUGUGGAUGAUAUAAUCUUUUAAAUAGAAAAUCCAAAUGAUUUCACAAAACUGUUAGAUCUAAUAAAUAAUCUCAUAAGUAUCAUGAUACAAAGUCAAUACACAAAAUUCAGUUUCAUUUCUAUGCAAGAAUAAUGAACAAUCUGAAAAGGAAAUCAUAAAAACUAUUCCAUUCACAACAGUAUCAAAAAAAGAAUAGAAUGCUUAGAACUGACUUGACCAAAGAGAAAAGACCUGUACAAUGAAAACUACAAAACACUGUUGAAUUAAAGAGGACGUACAUAAAUGGAAGCACAUCUCAUUUUCAUGAACUUGAAGGCUUCAUAUUGUUCAAACAUCAAUACUACUGAAAGCUGUCUACAGAUUCAGGGCAAUUCCUCUCAAAAUCUCAAUCACAUUUUUUUUUUUUUUUGCAAAAAUAGAAAAAAGCCAUCUCAAAAUUCACAGGGAAUUUCAAGGCACCCCAAAUAAAACAAUCUUGGAAAAAGAACAAUGCUAGAGAACCCACACGUCUUAAUUUCAAAACUUACCACAGAGUGACAGUAAUCCAAACAACGUGGUGUUAGCAUAGAGACAGACACGCAAACCAACGGGAGAGAACAGAGAGCCCAGCCAGAAACCCUCACAUGUACAUGGUCAAAAUACAUUUUUGACAAGGGGGCCAUGCCCAUCAAUGAGGAAAGGACCGUCUUUUCAACAUAGUGCUCUGAAAACUGGACAGCUACACCAGAAGAACAAAGUUGGAUCCUCGCCUAAUACCAUACACAAAAAUUAACCCACAAUGGACAAAAGACCUAAAUGUAAGACCUACACCAACAAAACUCUUAAAAAAGACACAGGGCAAAACUUCACAACACUGGAUCUGGCAAUGAUUUUCUGUAUACGACACCAAAGGCACAGGUAGCAAAAAAGUUAGACAAAUUGGACUUUGUGAAAAUUAAACAAUUCUGUGAGCCAAAAAAUAUUACUGGAGUUCCCGCCAUGGCGCAGUGGGUUAAGAAUCUGACUGCAGCAGCUCAGUUCGCUGCAGAGGUACGGGUUUGAUCCCCAGCCCAGCACAGCGGGUUAAAGGAUCCAGUGUUGUCGCAGCUGUGGCACAGGUCAUGGCUACGGCUUGGAUUCAAUCCCUGGCCCAGGAACUUCCAUAUGCCGCACAUGUGGCCAUAAAAUUUUUUUAAAUAAAAAUAAGAAGAUGCUAUACAUAGAGUGUAAAAAGCAAUGCACAGGAUGGGAGAAAACAUCUGUAAAUCAUGUAUCUCAUUUGUGGAUUUAAUAUGCAGAAUAUGCAGAGAACUUCUAAAACUCAAAAACAACCAAAAAACCCCUGAACAACCUGACUCAAAAAUGCGCAAAGGAUUUGAAGAGAUAUUUCUCCAAAGAAUAUAUAUGAAUGACCAAUAAGCACAUGAAAUGAUGCUCAACAUUAUUAUUAUUAUUAUUUGUCUUUUUGCCAUUUCUAAGGGCCAUUCCCGCAGCAUAUGGAGGUUCCCAGGCUAGGGGUCUAAUCAGAGCUGUAGCUGCCAGCCUACGCCAGAGCCACAGCAACACAGGAUCGCUGUGUCUGCGACCUACACCACAGCUCAUGGCAAUGCCAGAUCCUUAACCCACUGAGCAAGGCCAGGGAUCGAACCCGCAACCUCAUGGUUCCUAGUCAGAUUCAUUAACCACUGCGCCACGACAGGAACUCAACAUUAUUUAAUCACCAGAGAAACACAUAUCGAACUACAGUGAGAUACCACCUCACAGCCAUUAGCAGGGCUGUCAAAAACCCGAAAACAAAUACUGGUAAGAAUGUGAAGAAAUUGGAACCCUUGUGUACUAUUGGUGGGACCGUGAAACACGAAAGCUGCUUUGGAAAACAGUGUGGCAACUCCUCAAAAAAUUAAAGUUACUAGGGAGUUCCCUUGUGGCACAGCAAAUUAAGAACCCAGCACUGUCACUGCAGCAGCUAGGGUCCCUGCUGUAUUGCUGAUUUGAUCCCUGGCCUGGGAACUGCCAAAUGCCACAGACGCAGCAAAAAAAAAAAAAAAAAAAAGAGAGAGAGGGAGAGUUGCUACCCAGAAGAUAAAUUAGUGGAUCACAUGGUGACUCUCUUUUUAAUUUUUUGAGGAUUCUAGCAGUUCCAGUGCUGUGUGUAUCCCUUAAAAAACUGCACACAGGGUCUUGAAGAGUUCACCCUGUUCAUGGCAGCAUUAUUCACAAAGGUCAACCAGAAAAGCAACCCAAGCCAUCACGGACAGGUGAAUGGAUGAGCAAAAUGUGGCACAAACAUACACUGGACUGUUCUUCAUCCAGAAAAGGGAGCAAAAUUCUGAUACACGUUGCAUCAUGGAUGAUCGCGGACAUGCGGCUCAGUGAAAGAGGCCAGAGGCAAAAGGACAACUACGGUGCAAUUUCACUUAUAUGAGGUUCCCACAGUCGUCAGAAUCGUAAAGGCAGACAGCGGAAGGGGGGCGGCCAAGGACUGGGGGGAGGGGCACAGGGAGCUGUCGUCUGAUGGGGACAGAGUUUGAGUUUUACAAGGUCGAAAGAGUUACAGGGAUGAGGGUGGUGCUGGCUGCACAGCAAAGGGCAUGUACUUAAUACCACUGACCUGCACACGUAAAAAGAGUUAAGAGGAGUUCCCACUGUGGUGCAGUGGAAAAAAAUCCGACUAAUAUUCAUGAGGACGCACGUUCAAUCCCUGGCCUCGCUCAGUGGGUUAAGGAUCCAGCGUUGCUGUGAGCUGUGGUGUGGGUCGCAGACGGGGCUCAGAUCCCGCAUUGAUGUGGUGUAGGCUGGCGGCUACAGCUCCGAUUGGACCCCUAGCCCGGGAACCUCCAUAUGUUGUGGGUGUGGCUCUAAAAAGAAAAAAAUAAAAGGUUAAGAUAGUAAUUAUGUGUAUUUUACCCCAAUUUUUAAAAAGUGAAAAGAAUACAUUUGUAGGUCCUAUAUGAUUCAAUUUAUACGAAAUUCUAGAAAAGGCAAAACUAAUCUAUAGUUAAAAAAAAAAAAGCAGACAAUGGCUUAGGGGCAGAAGGGUGCAGCUGGGCUAGGCUAGGCAGCAAAGGGGCAUGAAUAAGGGAACAACCUUUUUGAAGGAAGAAACGUGCCGUGUCUGACUGCGAUCGCUGCUACACAGUUGUAGACAUUUGUCAGAAUGCUAGCUUUGAAGUGGGUGCAUGGGACUGUAUAUAAAUUAUACCUCAAAAAGGUAACUAUAACCUUUAUAACAUUAAGAAACAAAAACUCACUGUGGGAGUUCCCAUCGUGGCGCAGCGGUUAACGAAUCUGACUAGGAACCAUGAGGUUGCGGGUUCGGUCCCUGCCCUUGCUCGGUGGGUUAAGGAUCCAGCGUUGCCGUGAGCUGCGGUGUAGGUUGCAGACGCGGCUUGGAUCCCGUGUUGCUGUGGCUCUGGUGUAGGCUGGCGGCUACAGCUCCGAUUCGGCCCCUAGCCUGGAAACCUCCAUGUGCCGUGGGAGCGGCCCAAGAAAUAGCAAAAAGACAAAAAAACCCAAAAAACAAAAAACUCACUGAGGACACGUCCAGUAUGACAUUAUUAUAUUUUAUGGCCACAGAGGUUUCCAUGUACGGAUGGGCCAUGAUAAUUUCACCAAUCCUCUUUGCUUUUGUUUUUGCUGUUUGGCCAGGCCCGCGGCAUGCGGAAGACUCCCGGGCCAAGUACUGAACCUGCACCCCAGCUACAACCAGAGCCACAGCAGUGACAACGCCAGAUACUUAACCCACUGCACCACCAGGGAGCUCCUCUUAUUGUGCUUUUACGGUUUUGUGUUUGAUCCAAACUGAAGUUAAACUUGUGUUUCAUGUGACGCAUAGGUAAAACAACUCUUUCUCCUGGGCUGGCCACUUGCCCCAACACCUCUUCCACAGACUUGAGAAGCUAUUUCUGUCCUAUCACCAAAUGCCUUCGUGCAUAAGUAAUACAAAUAUGUAUUUGCUCCUGGACUCUCCAGUUUGCUCCACGGACGGAGGCGUCUGUUUCCGUGCCAUCCCCUGUUACACACAGCUUCCUGCUCACGGAAGAUGACAUUUGGGAAGGCAAGUUCGGUUCGAUGUUAGAAAAUCGAUGCGUGCAGCUCCGAGAUGAGAGGCGAGAUCCGACACACGUCAGUCAUGUCCCUCCCCCCACGUCUGGACACAUCCAGGCCCUCAGCACAGUAAGCGGGUCUCCGGCCCCUCCGACCAGGCCCCCCUGCCCUCUGGUGAGCCCACUUGCUCACUCAUGGCGCCGCCGCAACCCCGGCCUUUUCCUGCUCCUGCAGCACGAGGAGCCACUUGCUGCUCCCCCAGCUCCCUGCACCUUGGACAACCUCUUGGUCGCCCUUCAGAUCUCUGCUUCUGUGUCACUUUCCCACAGAGGCCUCCCCUGGCCACUGAGACCAAAGCGCCCCUGUGCCCUAGCCCCUGACCCCUCGCCUUCACUCGCAGCACUGAUGCCCGCAGAACCGCCGCGCUCACCCUCUUGUUUCCUCUUGGUCGUCACCCUCCGCCACCCCCAGCCCAGCCACAAGGUGAGGACUCUGAUUGUCCACCUCCACAUCCCAGUGCCUGGAACCCACAACAGGCCCUCGGUGACCCUCAGCCAGGUGGAGGAAGGACUGCACGUAAAUCGGACCCGUGGACAAAGGAUGGCCGACCCCCACUGCCUGAGUUCCCAGGGUCCUGCUGGAGGGGCAGCCGUGGGCUGGACAUCUUGCCCGCUGCAGGUUACAAAUGAGGACACCACGGCACAGAGAGCUCAGGUGGCCUGGCCAGUGUCACAGAACCAGCCCCUGGGCAGGGAGACAGCGGGCAGCAGGUCGGGCCAUCUGUCCGCAGCUGCUGGUGGCAAUCCUGGACUCGAUGAGGAAGCAGGAGGUCCGCAACGGCGGAGAGGCGGGCCAGGGCCACGGGGCCGGCUCCCCGGCCGAGCAGGUGAAAGCCCUCAUGGACCUGCUGGCCGGGAAGGGCAGUCAGGGCUCCCAGGCCCCGCAGCCGCCUGACAGGAUGCCAGAGUCCCCACUGAGGCCACACAGCAAUGACUUGAGGAUAAAGAGGCACCGAGAGGCUCUGCUGAACCGGACGGGCGGCGGCGGCGCGGAGCUGGGCAGCCCCUCACCCAGGCUGACCAGCCUCCUGCUGGUGGAGGGCCUGACAGACCUGCAGCUGAGGGAACAUGACUUCACGCAGGUGGAGGCCACGCGGGGGCGCUGGUGCUCCGCCCGGACCAUCGCCCUGGACAGGCUCUUCCUGCCCCUGUCCCGGGUGUCCAUCCCGCCCCGUGUCUCCAUCACCAUCGGGGUGGCCGGCGUGGGCAAAAGCACCCUGGUGAGGAAAUUCGUCCACCUGUGGGCGCGGGGGCAGGCAGGCAAGGACUUCUCUCUGGUGCUGCCCUUGACCUUCCGGGAUCUCAACACCCACGAGAAGCUGUCUGCGGACAGACUCGUCCGCUCCGUCUUCCCGCGUGCUGGGGAGGCCGGCCUGGCGUCGGCAGCCCUGACCAGAGUUCUCCUGGUCCUGGACGGCCUGGACGAGUGUAAGACGCCGCUGGACUUCUCCAACACCGUGGCCUGCACGGACCCCAGGAAGGAGAUGCAAGUGGACCACCUGAUCACCAACGUCAUCCGGGGCAACCUUCUCCCUGAGGCGUCCGUCUGGGUCACCUCCCGCCCCGGCGCGGCCGGCCAGAUCCCGGGUGGCCUGGUGGAUCGGAUGACGGAGAUCCGGGGCUUGAACGAGGAGGAGAUCAAGGAGUGUCUGGAGGAGAUGUUCCCCGAGGACCAGGUCCUCUCGGGCUGGGUCCUGAGCCAGGUGCAGGCCGACAGGGCCUUGUACCUCAUGUGCACCGUCCCCGCCUUCUGCCGGCUUGCGGGGUCGGCGCUGGGCCACCUGCACCGCAACAGGCCAGGUCCCCAGGACGCAGAGUUGUGGCCUCCGAGGACCCUGUGUGAGCUCUACGCAUGGUACUUCAGGACGGCCCUCGGUGGCGAGGGCCUGGAGAAGGGCAAGGCCAGCCCGCGCAUCGAGCAGCUGGUCCCCGGGGGCCGCAAGGUGGUGGGGACGCUGGGCCGGCUGGCCUUCCACGGGCUGUUCAGGAAGAAGUACGUGUUCUACGAGCCUGACCUGAAGGUGUUCGGCGUGGACCUCGCCCUGCUGCAGACCGCCCUGUGCAGCCGCUUCCUGCAGCGGGAGGAGACCCUGGCCGCCUCGGCGGCCUACUGCUUCACCCACCUGUCCCUGCAGGAGUUCGUGGCAGCCGCCUACUACCACAGUGCGUCCAAGAGGGCCAUCUUCGACCUCUUCACCGAGGGGGGCAUGUCCUGGCCCCGGCUGGGCUUCAUCACGCAUUUCAGGAGCGCAGUGCAGCGGGCCAUGCAGGCCGAGGACGGGCGGCUCGACGUCUUCCUGCGCUUCCUCUCGGGCUUCUUGUCCCCGCGGGUCAACGCGCUGCUGGCCGGCUCCCUGCUGACCCAGGGCGAGCACCAGGGCUACCGGGCCCAGGCGGCCGAGCUCCUGCAGGGCUGCCUGCGCCCCGACGUGGCCGUCUGCGCCCGGGCGGUCAACAUCCUGCACUGCCUGCGUGAGCUGCAACACACGGAGCUGGCCCGCAGUGUGGAGGAGGCCAUGGAGAGCGGCGGCCUGGCCGGACUGACCAGCCCCCCGCACCGCGCCGCCCUGGCCUACCUCCUGCAGGUGUCUGACGUCUGCGCCCAGGAGGCCAACCUUCCCCUGUGCCUCAGCCCGGGCGUCCUCCAGAGCCUGCUGCCCCAGCUGCUCUACUGCCAGAGCCUUAGGCUGGACGCCAACCAGUUCCAGGACCCGGUGAUGGAGCUGCUGGGCAGCGUGCUGAGUGGGAACGACUGCCGCAUUCGGAGGAUCAGCUUGGCUGAGAACCAGAUCAGUAACAAAGGGGCCAAAGCUCUGGCCAGAUCCCUCCUCGUCAACCGAAGUCUGACCACUCUGGACCUCCACAGUAACUCCAUUGGACCUCAGGGGGCCAAGGCGCUGGCAGAUGCUCUCAAGAUUAACCGCACGCUGGCCUUUCUGAGCCUCCAGAGCAACGCGAUCAGGGAUGACGGAGCCCGGGCCCUGGCUGAGGCCUUGGCCGCCAACCGGACCCUCUCCGUGCUGCACCUGCAGAGCAACGCCGUCGGGCCAGUGGGAACCCAGUGGAUAGCAGAUGCCCUGAAGCAGAACAGGAGUCUGAAGGAGCUCAUAUUCUCCAGCAAUAGCAUUGGUGAUGGAGGUGCCAAGGCCCUGGCAGAGGCGCUGAAGGUGAACCAGGGCCUGAAGAGCCUGGACCUGCAAAGCAACUCCAUCAGUGACACAGGAGUGGCGGCGCUGAUGGCAGCCCUCUGCACCAACCAGACCCUCCUCAGCCUCAACCUGCGAGAAAACUCCAUCAGCCCGGACGGGGCCCAGGAUCUGGCUCGCGCUCUCUGCACCAAUAGCACCCUGAAGAGCCUGGACCUGACAGCCAACCUGCUCCACGAUCAGGGCGCCCAGGCCAUCGCAGUGGCAGUGAGAGAAAACCGCGCCCUCACGUCCCUUCACCUGCAGUGGAACUUCAUCCAGGCUGGUGCCGCCAAGGCCCUGGGACAAGCACUACAGCUCAACACGAGCCUGACGAGCCUCGAUCUGCAGGAGAACGCCAUCGGGGAUGAAGGUGCCUCUGCCGUGGCCAUUGCCCUGAAGGCAAACACGACCCUCACUGCUCUCUAUCUCCAGGUGGCCUCCAUCGGGGCCCCAGGCGCCCAGGCACUGGGCGAGGCCCUGGCUGUGAACAGAACCUUGGAGAUCCUCGACUUAAGAGGAAAUGCCAUCGGGGUGGCCGGAGCCAAAGCCCUGGCAAAUGCGCUGAAGGUCAACUCAAGCCUCCGAAGACUCAAGGUCUGCGUGGUGGAUGAGUUUGGUCAUCUCUGCAUGUUCGGUCUCACGUCCUCCGUGGCACCUGGACGUGUCACCUGGCUACCUGGAGACACGGCUCUCGGGGUUAAGUGCCACCUCACUGCUGCUGUAGCACCUGUGAACACAUCAGUCCCAGACCUGUCCCUGGGAUAGCACAGGGCUGUCCCUCUGCCCUGAGUGGCUCAGUGUGGCGUCUCCAUCUUUUCUCUGCCUAGCCUUCAAGAGAACUCCUUGGGGAUGGACGGGGCAAUAUGUGUUGCCACCGCGCUGUCUGGAAACCACGGGCUUCAGCACAUCAGUCUCCAGGGAAACCACAUUGGGGAAUCUGGUGCCAGGAUGAUCUCAGAAGCUAUCAAGACAAAUGCUCCCUCGUGCACUGUUGAAAUGUGAGCAAAACAUUUCCUGCCCAGGCAGGACAACAGGCAGAGCCACAGCUGGACGCUUUCACACAGAAGGACCGUUUCCCGGGGCGCCUUCCUGGGGUCUGGGAACGAUGCGGACCUGCGGGAGAGCAGGGCUCCUGUGGGGAAGCUGGAAAAGAGCUGCCGAAGGUGGACACGAGCAGGGCCAGUCUAGGCAGCGGAGGGACGGACGCUGCUCCAGCACCGAUGGGUGUUUCCGCCAAGGGGCGCGGGGGACACAGGCCUCAAAGCUCAGCAAGUGAGCAGCCAGUCGGAGCUGACUUACAUCCUGAGGGCUUCAUGUGCUCCUAAUUUUUCUUAUGACUGCCCUUUCCCUGACCUGGGUACACUCAUGCCCCCCAUUCUGAAAUGAUCUGCCAUUUUCAAGCGCAUCCGUUCAUCCGGCAUCCGUGACACAGGGGACCUCCCUCUCCUUUUUCAAGAAGAAAAGAAGGUUUUGGGAGUAUGAGCCUUAGAGUCAUAAGGAAAAAUCACGAAAGAUUUUUGAAGAGAAAUGAAGGCUUUGACGCUAGGAUUAGGGAGACGAAAACGUUCACAAGGUUUUUGCCAUCUUUUUACCCAGGACAAGGCCUUUCAAAGACAUGGAUCACAUCUGCCACGUGUUAUGCGGCAUCUGUGGUUAUCAGCGGUAUGUUAAAUGUGGACGCCUUCUAGUGUCAUUCUCUCUUCGGCCCCCCACUUGAAGACAAGAUAGCUGAGCUUCCACCUGGCCUAAGUUCCCUCGAUGGCUGUGCUGAAAGGAGAAAUACUCCAAAUGGACAUCGCGGCUCUCAUCCGCUAAAUAACCAAGGAAAAUGCCUAAAAACUGUAAAGUAAUUAUUACUUCCAAAUUCAAACAGGAACUAUUGUUCCAAAUGUUUCUUUAAAAAUGAGUACUUGGGAAGUUCCCUGUGGAACAGCAGGUUAAAGAUCCCAUAUUGUCACUGUGGCAGCUCAAUGUGACACAGGUUCAAUCCCUGGCCUGGGAGUUUCCACAUGCUAGGGGUACGGCCAAAAAAAAAAAAGAGUAUUUGGAUAAGAAUUGUCGCUGGAUGAUAAAACCACAGAGGAAAGCCUAUUAAGGAAGAGGAAAUCUGCACAUCUGCACAGUCACGAAGUACCACCUGACAGGUAUUUACAAAGGUCCGUUAAAAAUGGAGACAUUAUGCAAAUGCUUCAGUGAAGUGAUAAACUUAACAGCACCGAUAAGGGGACAAACGGAUGUCAUAUAUUGCACAGUGACGCUCAGAGGACACAUCACUGAUGUGUUAUUCCCGCCAAAAAUGUUUACCUGAAUUUGAUCACGAAGGAAGUCAGACAAAAUCCAAAUUGAGGGGCAUUCUGGGAAGAAGAAAAAAGCCUGACCUCUUAAAAAAUGUUAAUGCGAUGAAAAAUACAGAAGGCUGGGAACUAUUUUAAACAAAAGGAUGUUAUUAGUCAUAACAAUUUAAGAUCUUUGAUUGGAUCCUAGACUAAAGGGGGAAAAAAAAUCAGCUAAUCAAGAACAUGAUCGGGAAACUGGGGACAAUUGAACACAGGUCUUGUACAGUCUUUCCUGGAUUACUGGUUUUGAAAGGUAUUUCUGCUGGGUACAAAAUCUGAGUGUGACAGUUGUUUCUUUCAGUACUUUCAAGAUGUUGCUAGACUGUCCUGUGGUUUGCACUGGUUCUGGCUGAGCUGAGAAUGUGGCAGUCAAGAGCCGAAAUGGCCAAAUGCUGGGGAGAGCUGUGCCUUGCAGGAACAGAGCACCGGCGAAACCACAGGGGCCAGAGCACUAGAGAAAAAAGAGUGCUCUCCAGGGACCUCAGAAGCAAAGCCCCUUCCUCCCUCCUUUCAAAGUCUCUCAAGCAACAGACUAACAAGGCUUAGGAACAUCUUGCUGGGUCCCUCAGGAGAGAUGUUUAAAACGAAUACCGCCACUGUCAGCAGGUGAAAAGGUCAAUCUGGAGCAGGGGCAAUAAAUUGAUAACCAACACACUGGGAUUUCGGGGGGGGGUCUUUUUUGUUUGUUUUUCCUUUUGGACAAAUGUGACCUGUGUCUUUAGGGUCAGUAAUGUUUUUUCCUGCAGUGUUUAAUAUGCUUUUAAUCUCAGCUUGUGUAGUUUUCCUCUCGGUUUUUAAAGUCUCUGGAAGGGCUGCUGGAGACUUUCUCCAUGUCAUCCGUCUCUCAACACGCUCGUGCUCUCCUCCACCCUCUGAACACAUGGAAAACUGUGUCCACGUCCUUUUCUACUAAUUCUGUCAACUGUCAUUUCUGGGUCAUCCCUUGGUCUGCUUCUUGACUAUUUUUUUCUUUUUUGGUUGCCCCCACAGCAUGGGGAAGCUCCCGGGCCAGGGAUCAAAUCUGAGCCUCAGCUCAACCUAUGCCACAACUUCGGCAAUGUGGGAUCCUUAACCCACAGUGCCAGGCCGGGGAUCAAACCUGCACCAACACAGAGACAACCCUGGAUCCUUAACCUGCUGCACCACAUGAGAACUCUGUAUGCCUGCGGUAAUUUUUUUCUCCUUUUAAGUUUCAUUGAAGUAGAGUUGAUUUACAAUGUUGUAGUAACUCUGGUCAUUUUUGAUUUGAUGCCAGAGAAUUUUACCUUAUUGGGUAAUGACUAUUUUUGUAUUCCUUAAAAUAUUCUUGAGCUUUAUCCUAGAAAAGAAACAGCUGGAUCCUUUCAAAACUUGCUUUUAAUAAGCUUUGUCAGGAUCGGCCAUCCUUUAGCGUAGGGCCCAACUUCUAAGGCAAGGCUUCCGUAUUCCGGGUCCUCUAGCUGAUGCCCAAGUCAAGAAAACUGUUUCGGGCUGUAAAUACAAUAGAUGCUAUAGAAAUUAGCCGUCUUAACCCCAACGAGUAGCAUCAGCCCAUCAGCUGGUGUGAAUGUUUUCAACACAGACGCAAUGUUUAAGCAGAAUGGCUCCCACUGCAGACUCUGCUGCAUCAAUUGCACUCAGCCUCUCGCUGCGCCCCCUUCCCCUCACCCCUUCUCUCCCCCUCACUCCACAAGCUAGUUCCUUUCACUUAAAAAGAAAUGUGUGUUUUCCUCUUAAAAAGAGGCCCUCUGUCCCUCAACACGCUCUGUGACCCCAUCUCCCCCGGCUCUGCCUCCUCUCCUCCCUUGCGACCAUCCGCCUUUCUCAACAGUCAUCCGUACUCACUUCAAAUCGCCACCUCUCGGGAUUCCCCCCGUGGUGCAGUGGGGUAAGGACUGGGUGUUAUCACUGCAGAGGUGGGUUCAAUCCCAGACCAGGGAACUUCCACAUGCCCUGGGCACAGUGAGGAAAAAAACAAACAACAACACAACAAUAAAAGGUGCUUCCUUCUGUGACAAAAGCAAACAAACAAAAACAAACCCCUGCAUUCCGAUCUCUCUUCAGCCCCCACUCGCUAGCUCACUUCGUGCUGAGGUUACCAGAGAUGUCCUCACUGCCCACUCCAGCGGUCACUCUCACUCAAGCACACUUACAACAAGGAUCUCUCUCGUCCUGGGCACCCGUCCCGUCUUUGGCAACAUCCCCUGUCCUGGACCCCUUAACGUCACCACCUUCCCACCCCUCUGCCUUCUCAUGACCACCUCGUCCUAAUCACUAGAGGCAAACACACCCACUUGAGAACAUCUGAGAGGUGCCGUCCCAGUCUCUUCUUCCCUCAGACACGGGCUCUCCUCGCCCGUACUCUUUCCGAGGAAUCUCACAGACAGGAAAAGGCCUAUAAUGGAAAAGAACCACGUGUGUCUCCCCUCGCCAAGUACCGCAGAGCUAACCAUCCUGUCCUACAUGCACUAGUUCAUUUUCCACUAACCUUCUAUGACGGGAAGUGGCACUUGUAUGUGCGUCACUUUAUAGCUCCACUUUUGGUUUCACCAUCCUUCCAGCAGUGACAGCAGGAUUUUUGGUUAAGUCAUCAGUUGGUGGUUCUCUUAGGAUUUUAUUUGUUCUGAUGAUCACUGCUGAGUUAGCUUCUUCCUGUUUAAUGUACUGGUCUCCCUAGAAAUGAACAGCUAAAGGUUUUUAACUUUUUUUUUUUUUUAAGGGCCGCACUUGCGGCAUAUGGAGGCUCUCAGGCUAGGGGCCAUAUCAGAGCUGUAGCUGCCAGCCUGCAGCACAGCCACAGCAAGGCCAGAUCCAAGUCUCCAACCUACACCACAGCUCAUGGCAACGCUGGAUCCUUAACCCACUGAGUGAGGCCAGGGAUCGAACCUGUGUCCUCAUGGAUACUAGUCAGAUUUGUUUCCACUGACCAUGAUGGGAACUCCAAAAUUUAACUUUCUACAUCACUGCUCAUUCUUGUCGGGCUAUCCAACAGAGGAUCAGAUCUGCGUUUCUCACAGACACGCCGGUUACUCUGCAAAACUCUGAGUUCCCCGUUCCUCACGGCAUCCCUCCCUGAGCCCUCUGUCGUCCUGCUCUGAUCCCGCCUCACAGGAAGGACCUCUGCUCUGGAGAGGGAGGAGGACCCUCCACUUCCCUUCCAAUUCCACCGGUCCUGGCUUCCAGCACCAAGAGUGUGACAGGUGUGAUAUUUCCAUGGUAUGCUGUGAACCCACCGGGACACGCGACAAAGACCUCACAGCUUAAAAUGCUCACGAGUGCACGCCUGUAUUUCUUCUUCCUGCCCCACAUCAGAGGGAAGUGUGUCCUCAGAAUUCCCCGUGGAUGACCCGAUGGUUAUUCCUACCCACGAAAACUGAGCACGUAAAAAUUCCUUGACGUCUCCUGCCCACGCCCAUUUUCAAAACUGUUAUGAAAGUACAGCUGAUUCACAGUGGGGCUGACGUCGUAAAAGAGCUUCAUUUAAGUGGCUUAAGGCAAUUAAGCAUUUAUAUCAAUACUCGGAAAUAAAAAAAGGAACUGGCCAGAAUGAAUCAUGGGGGUUCACACGAUCUGGAAAAUAUUCAAUAUUAAGUUGAUAUAUAGUAUUGAUGUUAUCUUCAGCUUCUUGGUUUGAUUAAUAAUAGAUUUGUAUUUAGAGACUUCCACAUUAAGUCCACAUUUUAUUUGACCUAGGUCUAUUGGAAAUCAAAUAAGACCCUGCUUUGGUGGCAUAGUGGUGAGCACAGCUGCCUUCCAAAUAAGACCUGAUUAUCCCCAUUACAAAGUUUCUCAGCAAAAAAAAAAGAUGUGGAAGUUUUUGACUAUAGUUGAUUUACAAUGUGUUCUGUCAAUUUCUGUUAUAUAGCAAAGUGACCCAGUCAUUCGUACGUAUGUAUGUAUAUAUACACACACUCUUUUUCUCAUAGUGUCUUCCGUCUUGUUCUAUCGCAAGAGACUGGCUUUAGCUCCCUGUGCUGUACAGCAGGACCUCGUUGCUUAUCCAUUCUAAACAGUCUGUAAGUGCCAACCUCAAACUCCCAGUCCAUCCUCCUCCCUCCCCCUCGGCAACCACAGGUCUGUUCUCUGUGAGUCUGUCUGUUUUGUAGGCAGGUUCAUCGGUGCUGUGUUAUGUAAGUGAUAUCAUAUGGUCUUUGUCCAUCUUACUUCACCUAGCAUAAUAAUCUGGCUGUAUACACGCUGCUGCAUGCGGCAUUAUUUUGUUCUUUCUACAGCUGAGUGGUAUUCCACUGUGUAUGGGCCCCAUCUUCUCAGUCCAUCCCCCGCCAACGGACAUGCAGAUUGUUUCCAUGUCGCGACUGUUGUAAACAGUGCUGCUAUGAACAUAGGGUGCAUGCAUCGUUUCGAACUGCAGGUGUGUCUGGAUAGAUGCCCAAGAGUGGGACUGCCGGAUCAUAGGGGAGGUCUAUAUUUAGCUUCCUGAGGAGCUUCCAUCCUGUUUUCCAUAGUGGUUGUACCAAUUUACAUUCACGCCGGUAGUAUAGGAGGCUUCCCUUUCCUCCACACCCUCUCUAGAAGUUGUCAUUUGUAGACUUAUUAAUGAUGGCCAUUCUGACCAGUGUAAGGAAGUACCUCAUUGUAGUUUGAUGUGCGUUUCUCUAAUAAGUAGUGAUGAGCAUUUUUUCAUCUGCCUGCUGGCCAUCCCUAUGUCUUCUCUGGAGAAAUGUCUAUUUAGGUCUUCUGCCACUUUUCAGCUGGUUUUUUUGUUGUUGUUGUUGCUGAGUUGUAUGAAUUGUUUGUAUGUUUUGGACAUUAAGCCCUGGUCAGUUGGAUCAUUUGCAAUUAUCUCCUCUGAUCCUAGCGGUUUUCUUUUCUUUUCUUUUUUUUUAAGUUUCCUUUUCUGUGCAGAAGCUUCUAAACUUGAUUAGACCCUACUGGUUCACUUUUAUCUCUAUUGCCUUGGGAGACUCACCUAAGAAAGCAUUCCUACGGUUGAUGUUGGAGUGUUUUGCCCAUGUUCUCCUCUGGGAGUUUUAAGGUGUCUUAUGUUUAAAUCUUUAAGCCACUUUGAGUUUAUUUUUGUGCAUGGUGUGAGGGUGUAUUCUAGUUUCAUUGAUUUACAUGCUGUUGUUUUCCCAGCACCACUUGCCGAAGAGGCUGUCUUUUUCUCCAUUUUAUAUUCUUCUUCUUCUUCUUUUUUUUUUUUUUUUUGGUCUUUUUUUGUCUUUUAGGGCUGCAUCUGCAGCAUAUAGAGGUUCCCAGGCUAGGGGUCCAACUGGAGCUGUAGCCACCAGCCUACACCUCUCUAAUCCCUUGAUUAAUGUUCCAUAGUUCUCAGCAUAUAAGUCUUUCAUCUCUUUGAUCAGGUUUAUUAUUACGAGGCACUUAAUUCUGGGGAGGCCAAUACACACAUUGUAAAGCAUUUUAAGAGGCCCUUUAAAUUACAGAGUAAAACAACCUGUCAGCAAUGAUCUAAAUGCUUGUUUUCCACUGACCUAAUCAGUCGCCUUUGGGGCCUCAGUCUGCUCUGCUGCUUGACCCAAACCGAAUGACAGCGAGUUAUAAGGCACCUGCACACAUCCGACUCCUAGAUCCGUUCCAGCGACAGAAAUACAUUAAUAACUACAAUCCAUACCUGAAGCUCCUAUGUUGACAGACUCUGCUCAAGUGAAGAUGCAGAAGCCCAUGGGAGACUUGGCGCAAAGCCAGUUAAGCAAGGGAUGAAGGACAAGGAACAGGUGAAACAAUGGCUGCCCACUCUUCCUGUGGACGUGUGACCUGUGGCUUGGGCUGGGCUCCCCGGUCAACGCCCAUCAGGAGAGAGCAUCACACGAGGGAAACAGAAAUACAUUCCUUGUUUUUCAAAAUCCAAGACAGGUCAGACUCAGGUAAAGCAAAGCUAUAACAUCCAAGAAGAUGCAAGGACUCUUGUGGCUUAAAAGCCAUGGCACCUGAGGGCUGACGUGGACCCAAACACCUACUUCCUUGGCAAGUAAGGCUUCAAAGACGGCACAUCUCAGAUAAUUGGUGCAUCAACUGGAUGCUGAGUGUUUUUAAAAGGGGGUCAUCUCAAAUGUAAGAUUUAGGGAAAGACGGAGAAAAAAGCAAAGGUACCUCACUGUCACAUAAUGCCCCAAAAUUUACAUGCACUCUAAUAACCUGUGAACUUCUCCUGAAUAAGUAUUUAUGUUACAGGGGCAAAUAAAUAAAACAAUUAACUUUCAAAUAAAAAUGAUAUAAAAAUACGGUAUAUUCAAUACAUUUAUUAAGAGAUAAAGAACUUCACAAGUCUUUUGACUUUGUAACUGAAAAAUAAAUGAAAACUCUGUGCUUUCCAUAUUAACAGAACAACAAAACCCAAGCCCACUCUCUGAUGCGUCUCAUUUUACAAAAGGGAAAUUCUCCUGGUCCUAUUCUAUUGAAUUCAAUUCUGGUUCACUUUUUUGAGUCAGAAACACAAAUCCAUACAUACACUUUUUCCUUAAUUUGCUCUUUUCUAAGGCAGACUGCCAGCCUCCAAGAGGAAACAGAGGAUGCAUAACCUGGAGCAUCUCUCUGCUGCCCACUUUUCAGGGAAAGUUGGUUUUCAUCAAAGCCAGCCAACUCUCAGAAAGUGUUAGUAAAAUACAUUUAAAAGCUUGGUAUUGUGAGCAUGCAGAAGGAAAAAGCAAGAGUACGGUGUGAAAUAAGGACUAGGAGUAAAAGCUGAUAUAACGGAAACGUUCUAAACUGUGUUCGUGAUUAAGAGUCAGACACUCCCUCCAAUUCCCAAAACGAGUCCUGUGUCCAGUUCCUGCCACAGGUCGGGGCUCUGAGUCCCGCCGACUCAGCAGAAAUGAGUGACAGAAACAACAGCCAAUACUUACUGAGUGUUGGCUGUUCUUUCUCACGUUUUUGUCCUGUGGAUGUGAAUCACUAAGAAUGCAUGCAUUUCCCAAGUUUUAGGAGAUAAAUAAGGCAAAACAAUCUUUGGGGUUUGCUCUGGUUCUAGCUUAAGCCCUGGGGAGUAAAGCACAGGAGGCUAGGGCAGAAGCAGGUUGUGCUUCCUCAACAGGGAGUCCAGCUGGCUUCUCCAACACCGUGCAUGUUUCCUGCUGGCCCCUCCGACCGCCCUUUACCUACAAAUCUGAGGGUUCUAGUCUGCCUGUGUCUCUUGGCCAGGAGGUCAGAAAUCAUUGUCACUCUCAUCCAGGGGCUCAGGUUUCCGGCCUCUGCGACUGGGCUUGGCAGGUGAGACAGCGAUGCUCUCGUCCUCCAAAUCGUCGUCGUCGUCCUCCUCAUCCUCCAGGUCAAUCUCACUGUCCUCUGAGUCUUCCUACAGGAAAAAGACACCAAGGCCAGCUGAGGGCCCGUCUCGCUACGGACAUCAUGUCAGCACGGACCCACCUAGCUUUUGCACCAGCCGCUCAAUAACCAGCAACACCCACGGGAGGAGGAGAUGGCGGAGCCGCCGUCAGGCUGUGGGGGCAGGAGGGGACCAGGGUCUACGUACUGCCGGCUGGAAUAUGCUACAAACGCAUCUCCUAAGCAGGCACCUUCGAACAGAGACAUGCACGCCGAGGCUGGUGCCGCAGGGGCCACCCCACUGGCAUCUUGGGAGCACCGCUGGGUCUGCACUGAGGCUCCCUGGAGGCCCAGAGACCCACCAGGGGACAGCAGGGAGGGCAGGGACUUAGAGACAGGGAAGCAGGGCUAAGUUUGGCUUCUGGAUGGACAGCCGCUCCAGAAACAGGUGAAAGGAGCAAAAGAAACAAAACACAGUCUUUCAUUGUCUAGAUAAGGGUGACCAACUCCGCCUUUUCAAACAGCAAGUUCUGCCUCCCCAGCAAACCGGGAGGGCUGGUCUCUCCGGAGAUCGCUCCCACCAGCACCCAUACAUGCUACAGCUUCCCUCCUCUUCUAAAAACGUAUUUGUUUUGGUCUUUUGUCUUUCUAGGGCCGCACCCGUGGCAUAUGGAGGUUCCCAGGCUAGGGGUCUAA